GAAUAUUGGAAUGUGUUGCUUUCAACCUAUCAAGCUGACUCCGCAAAAUAGUGAACAUAACAUGUUUUCUCGUCAAACCGUGUGAAGGGAAUGUGUUAUUCAACCUAUCAAGCUGACUCAGCAAAAUAGUGAACAUAACAUGUUUUCUCGUCAAACCGUGUGAAGGGAAUGUGUUAUUCAACCUUAUCAAGCUGCAAGGUACAGCCUGAAAGGGAGUAAGGAUUCUCGAAGGCCGUAGGCCGUGCGAAACGUCUAAGGGAGAUCCAAACAUUCUCAGAAGCCGUGUGAAACUCGAACGGGAGGGGAAGUUACGAGGCGCGGUACUUGCUAUAAAGAAGCGAUGGCGACAAGUACAAUUAGAGUCCGCUGUGGGAUUACGCGCGGUCGCCCAGCCUUGGUAUUUCUUCGCUCACUAUUACUGAGGACGCCCGGCUCUCCGUCCUUCCAGCACACGCCUGACAAUUGAUAAUGUGAUGUGGAGGCGGUUUAUUGGGACAUCUACUGGGAGAUCGCUACGGCUCUGCAUGGUGGAGGACGCUCGGGGAGUCCGGUGUCCAAGGAAGGUCGUCCCUGCUCCUCUGGACCCCCCCCCCUGCACCCCAGGAGUCAACAAUACAGGAAGGGUUCGCAGGGCUCCCAUGGUGGCUGCAGGAUGCCUCAUCACGGUCACGUCUGAAACACCUGUCGGUCGGUCUGUGGCAUCUCGACAACAAAACGUGUCACUCACGCAAUGGCACUGAGUGGAUGACCGAGGUCACGUCUGACCUAUGGAUCUCGAACAGCACGGAAGUUCGAGGGAUCGGAUGAAUUGCUCCUGUUCCUUUGGAUCCCCCUUCUGGUCCCUUUGCCCCCUUGUUUGCCCCCUUUGUCCCCAGAUUGAAGAAAACGCACACGGAGAUUCACUGGAUCGUCUUGUUUCCCCCUUUCCCCACAUGUGCCGCACGGAAACAGCGUGCAGGGUACGACACCCUUCUGGGUGGAACCGGAACAGUGUUAAGCAUCUCUAACACGAUUGAUGGAGAAGUCACCAGAACUAUGUUGUCUAACACCGGAAGUGACAUUGCGCACAAGACCGUAGGGCUUUGGAUGCCCACAUCUAUCGCGCCUCAUGAAGCGGCGUGUUUAUUCUUAGCACAAUUGUCAUGGGAUAAAGGGAUGUGGGAUGCAACACAAGAAGUAUUAACACCUAUAAUUGAUACAUGUCUACGAAAAUGCACUGGAAAGUUGUAUUCCCUGUUUUUCCAUCGUGUGCUCGGAGGAAGAGAGAAUGGUAUGACACAUUGUUAGGGGGAACGGGAACGUUAUUGGGGAUAUCUAAUACCGUGGAUAAUGAAGUAACACGAUAUAAAUUAGCUGGGACCAGACAGGGAACUCAUGAUGCCUUACUAAAAGUAGGAAUGUGGCUUCCUUAUUCAAUCGUGGGACAAAAAGAAAUGUAUUUAAAAGGGAAUUAAACAUGUGGAACGCCACUAGUGAAGUGUUAACCAACGUAACUAAACAGCUAAACUGGAUCAUAUGUAGUAUACAACACUUACAUGCACAGGCGCAAAAAGAGCGUUUUGUACGAAUGAUGACUACAGGGAAUUACCGGGAGUGGCGAAGUGUUUGGAAUAUAUCCUCUGAGUUAUGGUUACAGUUACAUUCGGAAUAUACGAUUUGUAAUACGACCGAAUGUAGGGGAUUUUGGACACAAUACACAGUAACCUCAAACGUUACCGUAUGUAAAUUCCAGGUAUUACCCGUAAUAACUGAACUAGGCUAUUGGUUUUUGCAUAUAGAAGGUGAAUGGUUUAAUUCGGGAACGAACCAAACCUUUAAUACCGAUCUUUGCGAGAACACAGAUAAAGGACUAGCUUGUAAAUUGCAUCACGAAUUUGUUAAUCCUUGCUUAACAAAAGUAGACUUCGCCUUAUGCGAUUGGUCAAGGGAACCGAGUAGGGACAUUUUGUGGCAGGUGGGACCACAUACCCUUUGUGUGGCCACUGCCCAAAAUCACUCCAUGUUGCCAACGGUUCCAUUUGUAGGAUGCCUAUGUAAUGUUCGUUUCUUUCAGUGGGGAAACGGGACGUAUUGGUUGACAAAUUACACAGUUGCUAGCCGGUUUACGGCUGUGUAAUGGGAAGUGUUACAUACACCAUGGCAAAUCUCUUUGGAGCGUUUCAAAUGCGCAUUGGAACAAUCCACUGAGAUAAAGAAAUUGAUUAACACAUGCGUCCAAUGUUUCCCAGCUGAUGGUAUCAACAUUAAUGGCUAAAGGAGAAAUUUUGCAUGCUGCUAAAAUUAUUCAGCAACAAUCUGCUCAUCAUUGGUGGGACAUAUUUACAGGAUUAUCACAAACUGCUAGAGUAACGCUGCUUCCACCAAUGAUUUUAGUCUUAAUCGCUAUUGCUUUAACUACGCUAUGUAAUAUUGGAAUUUGUUGCUAUGUCAAACGUCUAGAGGACCAGGUUGCCCGGAAAAUAUUUCAUCAGUUAGAAUUAUGAGGGUACUGGUAGAAACAAUAGACUUAGACGGGGUAGAUGCAUGCGUAGUAACUAUAACUACUGAAGAAGGAGGGCAUAUCCUGGACUACCAAGAUAUGAGGGGUGGAUUCUUUUAUCGCCGUAUAGAGCGACACCCUGACCGUGUAAAUAUGCUUAUAGCCGCGGUGUAACCGACCAUCAUUCAUUUGUUUAUGCUAAUUUAUUAAUAAAUUAGAGUUGAUUUGGUUUAAAAUACCAGGAGUGGAAUGUAAUGUUGUUUUUAACCUCAUCAACUAACAUCAAGCUGCAAGGUAACAUAAAUCGGAAUGUGUUAAGUUUGCACAAGGCCUAAUUAAUUAAUCAGGACUCGGCUUGAUGUGGUUGAAAGCACCAGGAGUGGAAUGAAGGGGAAUAUUGGAAUGUGUUGCUUUCAACCUAUCAAGCUGACUCCGCAAAAUAGUGAACGUAACAUGUUUUCUCGUCAAACCGUGUGAAGGGAAUGUGUUAUUCAACCUAUCAAGCUGACUCCGCAAAAUAGUGAACAUAACAUGUUUUCUCGUCAAACCGUGUGAAGGGAAUGUGUUAUUCAACCUUAUCAAGCUGCAAGGUACAGCCUGAAAGGGAGUAAGGAUUCUCGAAGGCCGUAGGCCGUGCGAAACGUCUAAGGGAGAUCCAAACAUUCUCAGAAGCCGUGUGAAACUCGAACGGGAGGGGAAGUUACGAGGCGCGGUACUUGCUAUAAAGAAGCGAUGGCGACAAGUACAAUUAGAGUCCGCUGUGGGAUUACGCGCGGUCGCCCAGCCUUGGUAUUUCUUCGCUCACUAUUACUGAGGACGCCCGGCUCUCCGUCCUUCCAGCACACGGUAAUGAGAUUUAUGUUAUUGCAUGUAAUCUAUGAGCUGAAAUACAUUUGUUGCUUGCUUGCUUGUACACUUUAUACUGUGGGUUAAAUAAAAUGUGCCGCUUGUUUAA